AGCUUUGCACAGUGGCAGUAUCGUAGCCAAUGAGGUUUAUCCGAGGCUCGAUUAUUGCUAAUUGAAAAAUAUACAUUAUGGAACAAUAUAUACCCUGAAGAAAGUUAGUUACUUGCUCCACUUGGGG
rnacentral:snRNA from 1 species